rnacentral:tRNA from 1 species
GCCGAAGUGGCGGAAAGGUAGACGCGAUGGUCUCAAAAACCAUUGGGAGGUUGCUCCCAUGUGGGUUCGAUUCCCACCUUCGGCA